CUUUUGUUGUUCAUACUGUAUUGCUAUUGGAGAGACUCCAAACCUGAAAGCGUCUCUCUCUUUCUUGUGUUUGAGUUUCUUAUAUACCUUUCUUUUGUUUUUUAAUCUGCUAUUUGACAUACUAUUGAUCUUUUUAACCAGAAAUUUGGCCUUGUAAUGUGCGGCAUUCCUUUUUUUUUCUCCCCUAUUCUUUCCUCAUUCUCAGAAUGAUAAAAGGCCUCUCUGACCUUCCAUUGGACUUGUAUGGCAUCUCUAUGCAUGGCUGUGUCUUUCCAUACAUCAGCUGUUAUGCAUUUGGUGUUCUCAUCUACUUUCCAUGGAUAAAUUGAGGCGUGAGUUGAAAGAUUUGUUUACUUGGAGUGCCUCUGACAUUAUUUAGUUUCCUCUUUUCUUUCUGGGUUCAAUUUUGCUGUUACUGUGAAGCCACCUGAACUUCUGCCUCCAGCAUCCCGUCUGAAUUCAGCUACUUCAGCACCAAAGCCUGUUCUCAGGUGACACGAGUUUAAUCAGUUCUUUAAAUUUGAUUAAUUGGACAUUUUUGCUGCGAUGCACUAAUUUCAUGUAUAAGAAACAUGUAUUGCACUUGUGUUAUAAGCAAAAACAGUUUUUGAGUGUCUUCAUGGGGGAAGUUGAAAAUUGGGCAUCUUAGGUAGUGUUUCUUAUGAUUCUUGAGAGCCGUAGUUUUAGAUGCUGCUACCCGUACAGGAAUGUGACUAUGAGAAGCAUUUGAAAAGUUUGCAAGGUUAGCUGUUUGAGUUUUUUUUUUUUUUUUUUUUUUUUAGAGCAACAAAAAAUGUAUCCGGAAAGUGUAUGACAGAUAUCAACACAUAUUUUCUUUUACUGGAAUUUCAUUUUAUGUUGCCAUUAUAUUGGUCCUCAAGUCUUGGCUAAAUUUCAGUUUCAUACUUCUGUUGAUGAAUUCUUGCUCCAUUGGAUGGAUUUCUGUAAGUUUUUAUGUCUCUUACACCGUUGAUCCUAUCCCUUGCGUCUCUCCCUGCCAAUUGUUAAUGUUGUUUGCAGGUUUAACUUCACCUCCUUGGCUAAGGCUACUGGCGAAAGCACUAAGACCUAAAGAUGUCCAUCUCCGGAAGAGAAGGUCCUUGAGGAGUUGUUCGUAUGUUGUAAAAAUGAUGUUGGAUUUCAGCAAAUCUUUUUCUCCUUUUGUAAUAAUAAUAAUUACUUUUACCCCUUUUUGGAUUGAUGAUAAUGAAAGAUUCAAGUCUAUCACCUUCUGGAAUUUUUUACCCCUUUUAACCACUCAUCAAAGAUGGAAUCAGAUUAACAGAUACUACUACUCGUAGUAUUUCUCAUGCUUGUCUUUUUACUAGUUUUAGUCUAAUCUCGUCGUAGCUUGCAUUUCAUAGAAGCCACACAAGCUAAGGAAAAUAACACAAUUCAUAGCUGAUGAUUACCAUAGGUUGGAAAGGGUUGUUCACUUGAGUGAUUCUUGUACUGUUCUUUGCCCUGUUAAUAUAUUCAUUAAUGAAUUAGAGGGAUUUUUUUCUUUUGAGUUUCCUGAACAAUAUUUGAGAUUAUAUACGCUGUAGAAACAGUAAUGGUGAAAACAUUUUGAUUUUCUGAAUUUCAACUUUCCAGUUUGGAUGUUAUUGGUUUUGUGCUAGAAGGCUUGGGAGAAAUUUUUCCCCAAAAAAAAAAAACGAAAGGAAAAGAAAAAAUUUGUGUAAAGAGUGGUAGAAUUGUAAUUCAUUGUGAACCACUCUAUAAGCCCCAAAAAACAAAAACUAAGUGUGAGAGAGAGAGAGAGAGAAGGGAAAAGAUGUUAUUUCAACGAAUCCGCUGAAAAUUGGAAAGUGUAAAGCAAAGCAAUGGCUGGCCCUGGGUUUGGCAACCAGAGUAGCGGGCAACGACUUGGCAUUACCGAGCCAAUUUCAUGGAGUGGACCAACAGAAUAUGAUAUGAUCAAAACCCGUGAGCUUGAAAAGGUUAUAGAUGAAUUCCUAUUUAUAGACACACAAACAUGCAUGUUGCUAGUAGGAGUAAUUGUUUUGUUGAGGAUUAUUCAAAAUAGGUAAUGCAUGUAUGCGUUUGCAGUUUUUAGCAGAUGUUGGGUUGUACGAGAGCCAGGAGGAAGCCAUCAGUAGGGAGGAAGUGCUUGGUAGACUUGACCAGGUUCGCUGGUUUAAUCAACGCCAAUUUUUGUAGUUUUGACAAGUUUGUGGAUUAUGAUGUAUACGGCUGCUGUGGUUGUUGGGUAUUUGAGCAGAUUGUAAAGACAUGGGUGAAAAAUGUAAGCCGUGCCAAGGGUUUAAAUGAGCAGUUGGUGCAAGAAGCAAAUGCAAAGAUAUUUACCUUUGGCUCAUAUCGGCUUGGGGUAUGCAGCUUUUUUUUUUUUUUUUUUCCUAACUUCUUUCCCACUUCCUGAAAUCUGCCGCUGUGCAAACACACACAAGAAUGAAAAACAAAAAUAAAAGAAGAAAAUUAUAUCAUUUUUGUGGGUUUUAUGCUUAAUGGUUGACAAAAACUUAAUAAUACACUGAAAGUUCUAACCUUCAAAGGGUGGUUGUGUCAUGCUAUGGGUUCCAGUGCAGUAUCAUUUGGAGCUUUUAUUUAGGGUUUAGCUGCAAUUGUUUGUAGAUGGUUCGCAGAUCCUCAUGAUAGUGCCUUACUAAAUGUUGAUGAAAUGACUAAUAAGCUCAACGUACUUUUGAUACUUGGUACUGGGACAAUCUACUUGAUGGUCACAUGUCAAAUUCUUUUACCUAGGGAUAGAAUUGGAGGCUAGCUGCUUCAUGCGCUAAGAUCUUCCUUAAUGGAGAUGUACUUGUACCAUCACUCAAAACCCUUUUUUAAUUUUCUAUGAGAUUUUGUUGUUAAUAUCAAUGACUUUUGCUGGUUUAUUUGCAAGGUGCUUUGUCUGGAUUAAUUAAAGUUAACAUAUUCCACUAUAAUUUGAUUUGACAAUCUCCCUUUAUAGUGCAUAUGACCCUUCAAAUUCAUAGCAUACUUUAGAUGAAGAAUUAACCUUCUGUAUUUUAUCUGGUUUUGGUUUAACAACUGUUGGGAGUUAUAUAGGCUUUUUGUGUUUGCUGUUUGACAGUGUUUGUAAUGUUGAGGAUCAUUUGCACUGUUGUCUAUCUGUAAUAUACGUACAUUUUUCCCUUCUGCUUUUUCUGAAUGCUGCUUAUUUGUAUUAGGUACAUGGUCCUGGGGCGGAUAUAGAUACACUCUGCGUGGGACCCAGACACGCAACAAGAGAUGUAGGAUCAAUUCUACCCUAUUGUGGUGCAGAUAUCUUUUUUGGUUCAAACUUGUUUUAUUGGAUUGUUAUAAAACUUUUGUUACAAAUGCAGGACGAUUUUUUUGGUGAGCUACAGAGAAUGCUGUCAGAAAUGCCUGAAGUUUCAGAGCUGCAUCCUGUACCUGACGCUCAUGUCCCUGUGUUGAAAUUCAAAUUUAGUGGAAUUUCAAUAGACCUCCUUUAUGCAAAAUUGUCUCUAUGGGUUAUUCCAGAAGUAAGUGCCUGUCUUAGACCUUUCUAACUUCAUGAAUUCACAAUAAGCAGUCAAUACUAAAUAACUGUUGAGCUCUUCAAACUUCUAAUUGGAGAUUUAUUGGGGUAUAUUCUCGGUAAUUAUUAAAUUAAAGUUCUUCACCAAGUAGAAUGGCUAAUAUUGGUGUAUUAGGUUUCUUUGGUUCAAUUUUCGUGGUCAUAUAAUAGGCGUCUCAGUGCAUGUUAUUUGUCUACCUUUUGUAGUCUGCUGCCUAUCGCGGAUAGUGCGUCUUCAUUUUCUUUGAGCUAAUAUGUUGAAGAGAUAAAGAUUAGAUUUUCAUUUCCAAGCUGGUGGUUUGAUUAUCUUCAUGGUGCCUAGAAAAUUUUCCUUGAUGUUAAUAAGUAUUUUUUUUAAUUCAGUUAUAUAUUUUUACACUGUCAACUGUCAAGUACUCAAUAAGUAGUCUGAUGUUUUCCUUUUUUCAUAACUCUUCUGCUACAGGAUCUUGAUAUCUCACAAGAGUCAAUACUGCAGAAUGCUGAUGAGCAGACUGUACGCAGUCUGAACGGUUGUAGAGUUACUGAUCAGAUUUUACGAUUAGUGCCAAAUAUUCAGGUCUUAACCAUUUGUAAUGCAUUAUUGUUUAUAUCAGAAUCUCCAUGUUUAAGUAUAGUUCUAAUCAAAUAAUUUUGUGCUGAUGCAGAACUUCCGCACAACAUUGAGAUGCAUGAGGUAUUGGGCCAAGCGUCGCGGUGUUUAUUCAAAUGUAUGGGCUAGUGUUCUAGAGAUGCCAAGUUUGCAGUAUUCACAUGCUUCUUAUUACAUAUUUUUAUGUAGAGCAUUAAACUUUUCUUAUGGUCAGGUUGCAGGUUUCUUAGGUGGUAUAAAUUGGGCCUUGCUUGUUGCUCGCAUAUGCCAGCUUUAUCCUAAUGCAUUGCCAAACAUGUUAGUCUCACGGUUCUUCAGGGUCUACACACAGUGGCGCUGGCCUAAUCCAGUUAUGCUCUGCGAAAUUGAAGAUGGAUCACUUGGACUACCAGUUUGGGAUCCUAGAAGAAAUCCAAAGGACAGGUUCCACUUGAUGCCCAUAAUAACUCCUGCUUAUCCCUGCAUGAACUCUAGCUAUAAUGUAUCGUCAAGCACUCUGCGGAUUAUGACAAAUGAGUUUCAAAGGGGAAAUGAAAUAUGUGAGGUACAGUUCUUCUUGUGGAUGUUCUAGUUUGUCUUGUCUUUAUGUUUUUUAUUUCUCAGCCCCCCUAGCCCCUCCCCCUCAAUAUCUGCAUUCCUGUGGCAGACUCAAUUUGACAUGUUUGUUAUCUUGUGGUGUCGGGCAAUGGUCCUACUUUCAAAUUGUACUCAAGUCCUUAUUUCCCUCUUUCGCUCCUUUUUCUUUUUUUUCUUUUUGGGUUUUUGUUUGGUUUUUUUUUUUUUUGUUUUCGCCCCCCCAGGGGGGGGGGGUGUUUCCGGGAUUUGGAUAUUUGUGGAUUUCGGUUGUGUUUAGGCGUUUUCAUUAGGGCUCAUUGCCAAUUCAUAAGAUCUCUUUUAGUCCAUUGGAUACUUUGAUAAAAUAAUAAACUUUAUUGCUUUUGAGACUUUUGAGGUGAUGACUGCUUCUUCAUAUUUUUCAUAUUUCCUGUCUCUCUAAGUACAGUAUUCUUGGAUCUAAGUCUCAUUGCAUCUGUUACUCUGUCCUGCAUAAUGUAAUUAUUAUGUAUGCUAUUUGAUUUAUAGACAAAUAUAUUUCUGUGGUGAGCUUUGGCAGCUAUUGAAGCCUUGAUCCAGUUCUGUUUGCAUGUUUUUCUUGGUUUUGGUUAUGAAUUCAGUCAAUUUUGUGAGAGGGACCAUCUAAAAAGAACUGAAAAUUAUUCUAAAACUCCUGUGGCUAUAUAUUUGUUACUCACUCGUGCUGCCCUUCUGCUCUAUGUAAUUUGCUCUUUCCUUCAGGCCAUGGAUGCAAACAAAUGCAACUGGGAUAAACUUUUUGAACUUUAUCCUUUCUUUGAGGCGUAUAAGAAUUAUCUGCAGAUAGAUGUUACUGCCGCAAAUGCUGCUGACUUGAUGAAUUGGAAGGGCUGGGUUGAAUCCCGCUUGCGGCAACUUACAUUAAAGGUCAUUUCUAUUAGUCUUACUGCUUAUAUGUCUUACUUUAUAUGCACAUAUACAGAUUUAUUACUUGUCCCUGACACGUGGGUCAUUCUAACAACUAGAUUGAGAGGCAUACUCUUAACAUGCUUCAGUGCCAUCCACACCCAGGGGACUUCUCAGACAAAUCAAGACCAUUUUAUUGUUGUUACUUUAUGGGUCUCCAACGGAAACAAGGAGUGGCUGCCAAUGAGGGGGAGCAGUUUGAUAUUAGGUUGACUGUUGAGGAAUUCAAGCAUGCUGUUGGCAUGUAUAACACGUGGAAGCCUGGAAUGGAGAUCCGUGUAUGCCAUGUCAAACGUCGGAGCAUACCUGCAUUUGUGUUUCCCAGUGGGGUUCGGCCUCGUCCCACCAAAGUAGCUGGAGAAGGUAGGCGUCCUUCACAAACUAAAGUAUCCAGUCAUACUGAAGAUAGUUCUCUUCCGAAGGCAUUGAAUGGUGGGAGUAAAAGGAAAAGGGAUGAUACUGAUACAGCGACCAGUUUAAAUGCAAAACGUAUAGCUGGUGUGGGGGAAUCAGGUGAGCUAGUGCAUGAGGGUAGACCAUCUGGUUGCAUUGGUACUUCGUACUUGGGCAAUGCUAGUUUAGAAACGCCAGGAAAAAUUUUUAACGAGAAGGUUGAAGAUAAUAUGGGUAAUGGAUUAGAAAAUCCCAUUUGUCUGCCUCAGGCCUCUUCUCAAAAUGGUGGAGAAUCAGAUGCAUCUUUAAGGCUUGAUCCAUCUACACCUGCUGAUUCCAUUUCAUUAAGCUCCAAAGAAGCUGAAAAACUUGCAAUCGAAAAGAUGAUGUCUGGUCCAUAUGUUGCACACCAAACAUUCCCUCAAGAACUUGAUGAGCUUGAAGAUGAUCCUGAGUACAAAAAUCAGGGGAAAAUUACUGGUGGGAGCAUGAAAGGGAGCUCCAUGGAGUCCUCAGCUACAAAAGGGUCACUUAUAGUUUCUCUUACCACUAGCACAGCUGCUGGUUCUCGCUCCAGCUUGCAAUCGAGUGGGAAAUUAGAAGAACUUGAGGUAUUGCCUAUGAACGUACUGUCUUGUAGAUAUUGAGAUUCUUUUUUUGGCUUGGUUGGUUUUUAUUCAUUUUGAUAUUCUGAAUGUCGACAUACCAUCACUGGUAUCAAUACUUGCAAACGGGCUUAUUACUGUUUAUGCUUAGAAGUUAUUAUUUACUUGUCACUUGUAUGCAAUCGAAUGGACUUUUUUAUUUAAUGAUUUGCUGUAAUAGCCAAAAGAUCAUCUAUAGAUUUAGGUUGUAGUAAUUGUGGAUUCUACACAGCUGUUGUGUUUAAUUGCAAGAAAACCUUGAGUAGAAGAUGCUAGGGGAGUUAUCAAAUCUCAGACACAUUAAACUGAACAUGUGACUGGAAAGGACGGUCCAACUUACAUGCUACAAGAGGCAGGAAAUAAUAUUGGACUUUGUUCCUUGUUCUGAUUUAAGAGCAUAAUGUUGCAUCUUGUUCUAUACUGUUUUUAUGAACUUCCUUUUGUUGUUUAUACUGUAUUGCUAUUGGAGAGACUCCAAACCUGAAAGCGUCUCUCUCUUUCUUGCAUUUGAGUUUCUUAUAUACCUUUCUUUUGUUUUUUAAUCUGCUAUUUGACAUACUAUUGAUCUUUUUAACCAGAAAUUUGGCCUUGUAAUGUGCGGCAUUCCUUUUUUUUUCUCCCCUAUUCUUUCCUCAUUCUCAGAAUGAUAAAAGGCCUCUCUGACCUUCCAUUGGACUUGUAUGGCAUCUCUAUGCAUGGCUGUGUCUUUCCAUACAUCAGCUGUUAUGCAUUUGGUGUUCUCAUCUACUUUCCAUGGAUAAAUUGAGGCGUGAGUUGAAAGAUUUGUUUACUUGGAGUGCCUCUGACAUUAUUUAGUUUCCUCUUUUCUUUCUGGGUUCAAUUUUGCUGUUACUAUGAAGCCAC
rnacentral:lncRNA from 1 species